CACUAUGCCCAGCCUUAAACAUAAACGGUCUCCUACACUGUUCCGUUCGCCUGGUUACUACGAGCUCCACAGUAUUUAAGCUUAAAAACCAAAGGACUUGGCGGUGCUUCAUAACCCCCUAGAGGAGCCUGUUCUAUAACCGAUAAUCCCCGUUAAACCUCACCCUCUCUUGUUCAUUCCAGCUUAUAUACCGCCGUCGUCAGCUCACCCCGUGAGGGCCCUACCCAUAAAGUGAGCACAAUUGGUCAAUACCCAGCAAGUCAGGUCGAGGUGUAGCAAAAGAGAGGGGAAGAAAUGGGCUACAUUCUCUACAACAGAGAACUACGGAGAAUAGUCCUGAAACAAGACAUUCGAAGGUGGAUUUAGCAGUAAGAGGGGAACAGAGAGCCCCCCUGAAGCUGGCUCUGAAGUGCGUACACACCGCCCGUCACUCUCCCCCAGCACCCUCGCCAUAAAUUUUCAUAAAACGUAAGAGCAGCAUAGGGGAGGCAAGUCGUAA
rnacentral:rRNA from 1 species